UACGAAGGGGGCUAGCGUUGCUCGGAAUGACUGGGCGUAAAGGGCGCGUAGGCGGAAUGCUUUGUCGGGCGUGAAAUUCCAGGGCCUCAACCUUGGGGCUGCGUUCGAGACGGGUAUUCUUGAGUUCGGAAGAGGGUCGUGGAAUUCCCAGUGUAGAGGUGAAAUUCGUAGAUAUUGGGAAGAACACCGGUGGCGAAGGCGGCGACCUGGUCCGAGAC
rnacentral:rRNA from 1 species